rnacentral:rRNA from 1 species
UACGUAGGCAGCGAGCGUUGUUCGGAGUUACUGGGCGUAAAGGGUGUGUAGGCGGUUGUUUAAGUUUGGUGUGAAAUCUCCCGGCUCAACCGGGAGGGUGCGCCGAAUACUGAAUGACUUGGAGUGCGGGAGAGGUGAGUGGAAUUCCUGGUGUAGCGGUGAAAUGCGUAGAUAUCAGGAGGAACACCGGUGGUGUAGACGGCUCACUGGACCGUAACUGACGCUGAGACACGAAAGCGUGGGUAGCAAACAGG